rnacentral:rRNA from 1 species
GACGAACGCUGGCGGCGUGCUUAACACAUGCAAGUCGAACGGAAAGGCCCUGCUUUUGUGGGGUGCUCGAGUGGCGAACGGGUGAGUAACACGUGAGUAACCUGCCCUUGACUUUGGGAUAACUUCAGGAAACUGGGGCUAAUACCGGAUAGGAGCUCCUGCUGCAUGGUGGGGGUUGGAAAGUUUCGGCGGUUGGGGAUGGACUCGCGGCUUAUCAGCUUGUUGGUGGGGUAGUGGCUUACCAAGGCUUUGACGGGUAGCCGGCCUGAGAGGGUGACCGGCCACAUUGGGACUGAGAUACGGCCCAGACUCCUACGGGAGGCAGCAGUGGGGAAUAUUGCACAAUGGGCGGAAGCCUGAUGCAGCAACGCCGCGUGCGGGAUGACGGCCUUCGGGUUGUAAACCGCUUUCGCUUGUGACGAAGCGUGAGUGACGGUAAUGGGUAAAGAAGCCCCGGCUAACUACGUG